rnacentral:rRNA from 1 species
GACGAACGCUGGCGGCGUGCUUAACACAUGCAAGUCGAGCGGUAAGGCCCUUUCGGGGGUACGACGAGCGGCGAACGGGUGAGUAACACGUGGGUGACCUGCCCUCAGCUCUGGGAUAAGCCUGGGAAACCGGGUCUAAUACCGGAUAUGACUCCAUGACGCAUGUUGUGGGGUGGAAAGCCUUGUGCGGCUGAGGAUGGGCCCGCGGCCUAUCAGCUUGUUGGUGGGGUGAUGGCCUACCAAGGCGACGACGGGUAGCCGGCCUGAGAGGGCGACCGGCCACACUGGGACUGAGACACGGCCCAGACUCCUACGGGAGGCAGCAGUGGGGAAUCUUGCGCAAUGGGCGAAAGCCUGACGCAGCGACGCCGCGUGAGGGAUGACGGCCUG